rnacentral:rRNA from 1 species
ACGGAAGGCAGCAGUGGGGAAUAUUGGGCAAUGGAGGGAACUCUGACCCAGCAACGCCGCGUGAGUGAAGAAGGUUUUCGGAUUGUAAAACUCUUUAAGUGGGGACGAAGAAAGUGACUGUACCCACAGAAUAAGCAUCGGCUAACUACGUGCCAGCAGCCGCGGUAAUACGUAGGAUGCAAGCGUUAUCCGGAAUGACUGGGCGUAAAGGGUGCGUAGGUGGCGAGUCAAGUUAGCAGCGUAAUUCCGGGGCUUAACUUCGGAACUACUGCUAAAACUGAUUUGCUUGAGUGCGGUAGGGGUAUGUGGAAUUCCCAGUGUAGCGGUGGAAUGCGUAGAUAUUGGGAGGAACACCGGAGGCGAAAGCGACAUACUGGGCCGUAACUGACACUGAGGCACGAAAGCGUGGGGAGCAAACAGGAUUAGAUACCCUGGUA